CGUUGACAACAUGAGUUUUGAAUAAUAAAAAGAAAAAAUGUGAAAAGUAGGUUUCCUUUCAAAUGUAUUAAAAUUCAACGAUCCCGAGUUUUCCUUAAAUCUCGGGCACAUAAUUCUCUGUAACACGCAAUAGCUACUUGAUGCAGUGUCUCUGAUCACUUUUAAUAAGAGGGAAAAACAUGCAUAAAUUAUCAUAUUUCUAUCUUCCAAUGAAAGAUGUUGUUUGUGACAACUGGCAGCUACUGUAUUUGAUGGGAGCGCCGGCAAGAAGGAACUUGUGCUGAAUGCGGAAGUUGUGACGUCGCAAGAUUAGCUCUGCUCUUGCUGUGACUUGUGUGCUGGUAUCUGAUUCAGAAACCUCAAAAUUCCGGCUUUCGUAUCUGGCAACACUGAGCUGCGUUCACCAGUCCUAUCCUGGCUGCUGUAUAAAAAGACCACCAGGCAACUGAGCAAGAGCCCGUGCCAGCACAAGGCUGGCUUAAUCUCCAACAACAACUUUCUCAUCCAGUCCAUUCCAGUGUCCAGACGCACUUCAGUAGGAGAAAGAAGCCUUUCCAGCACAGGACUGACUUAAUCUUAAACAAGAACAGUAACUACCCUUGAUAUAAAGUUGGUGGAAGGUGCAGCCAUGGCUUCACUGAACUCUUGUCAUCAGGAGAAAGAUGCGUUCAUUAAGGACAUUUUCUCAAGUGGUUAUGAGUUUCCUCAACAAGACACAGAUGAUGAUUUUAAAGUGGAAGUCCAUGACUUAGUUUCUUUUGGAGAUAUAAAAGAUGCAUCAUGCACAGAACCUCAGAAUGCUGAGGUGGAUGGAACUAUCAUUGGCCACAUUUGUACUGUUAGAAAAUUUUUCCCUGGCAAAUACAAAGUAACAGUGGUUAAUUUAAUUGAUUUAAGAAAUAUGGGUGUAAUGACCCACUUGUUAUAUUUCAUCAUGAAGACAUUAAUCCAAAUCUACUGGCACUAGAGGUAAUUCACUUGAGUGAUGAUUACUGUGCAUUUCACAGGGGGCUAAGAAAUUCAAUCAACCGCUAUGACUGGUGUCACUGGACACAUUUUUGUGGUGAAGGGAGUGACGACUAUGAGAAAGCUACAGAUACGGUUAUGUCAGUUCUUAAUGAAGAGUUCAAGAGUACUUUACCAUCAAAAGUAACCAUUCCUGAUCUGUUUAGUGCACAUGAAGAUUUCAGAGCUCUCAUCUACUUUACCAGAAACGAAGAUGCCAAAAACUUGACAGCUUACAUUCAGAAAGGCCAUGUUCACAGAUCAUCUGUUAUAAAGCACCUUUUUUCAGUUAACGAUGACAGUGGAAGGAUAAUGUCCUUAGGAAUCAAUUUUACACCGUUUAACUCUGGGGAAUGGGAGUAUGGGAAGGUAUUUGAAGAUCCUGAAAUGGUUGUAACUAUGCGUUGAUUCUGAAUGGCUAUCUUUCUUUGGAUGAAGGACCAUGGAAAAAUCUUUAUAGUAGUGAUGAAAGGUCAGACAUGGGAUUUACUACCAUUCGUGAAAAAGGACUGAAAUUUCCAAUGAGUCAGUUCAAGUUGAGGAAAUAAUUAAAUAUUUAAGAAAAACUAAUUGGCUUGGUAGUCUCUUGUAUUAUUUAUAGAAAAUAAAAGAUUACAAGAUA